rnacentral:lncRNA from 1 species
GUGUUUGUUGUGUGAGCUGGGUGGGGACGCAUAUCAAGCUUAGCUCGCAAACAAGUGGGGCUGCGAGUUGUGCACUAUGCCCCAACCACAUCCAAAACAAAUCAAGACUGUCAGUUGUUUUGUUAUCGUCGCGCGGCGUGUUCAGCGACCGGUCAUGUGGCAUCUGACCAUGCCACGGCGAUAGUCUGCUGUUUUUUGACUAUGGAUUAGGAAGCAUUUUCAGACUUUUUUCUUUUUAGUUGUUUUUUAUGCCAGUUAUUGAGCCAGUUUUAGAAUUAGUUUUAUUUUUCGUUUUUGGAUUAUUACCGCACGUUUGAAGAUUAUCUCUAAGAACCGCUUCGACAAGAUUCUACGUUCAGAUAGAAACUACAUGGAAGCAUUGACAACUUAAUUCGAGAUUGCUCUGUAAAUAGUAGAAUUCUAACAGAGAUUGAAAAUUUUGAUAAAAGUAUCAUCUAUUUGUGCGGUGCGUCUGAUAAGAACGGUCGAAAACUUUAGAAAUAGUCACACGUGGACUGUUGUUUUCUUUCUGAUAAGAAGAAGAUAGAGAUAUUUUCAUGGUUUUCAUGAAAAGGUACACAACAGCAGAUAAAGAGACGGACGAUGGA